GUGUGCCUGUGUGGGCACUCAACUAGGAUACAACCCAGGUGAGCGGCGCUUAUCGCCAUGGACACCAUGGAGUUCUUCUUCGAGGAGUCUGGAGCUGGGCUCGCGCCGCGCUUGGACGGCGGAGACGUCCUAAGAGAUUUAGUUGCCGGCGUGCGUCUGCCUAAGGGCCGCACAAGUGGAAGUGCUGAUACGGAUGAGGUCUUGAUUCUCUGCCGAUGGGUUGAGCUGGAGGCCUGAUGGAUUACGAAGGGGGCGAAGAUACGGGUGAAACAUUACUCACUGGGAGGGGGGGUGCGGCUCGUUUGAUCUUGGCGGCGAAGGUGUGGGCGAUUCCUGUGAGAUAGGCGAUGCAGAUGUUGCCUCUGGCACCGAGGGCAGACGAAGAGGGCGUGGGGGUGUCCAACACAAAUCAGUCUUGUUAGACCAGGAGGGUAAGCCAUUGCAGGCCAACAGUUGGUCAACAAGGUGUGGCUGCAAUGCCAUGAUACGACUGCUGAGGUCGGGUGAUGGUGGAUGGUAUGUAUGUGAGCACAGGUUAGAGCACAACCAUGCUUUAUCUGUUUAAUUGUGGAGAGAAAUUGCACUCGAAGUCGCACCAACACAUAGAUACCUAUACAAGAGACCUUGUUAAGCAGUUGAGAGAGAAUAAUAUCAGCAUUAGCAAGGUUUAUAGUGUUGUAGGGAGUUUCUUUUGCAUGAUUAAGGAGGUGCCAUUCACGAAAUGAUCCUUAAAAACACUAUGUGGAAAACUUAACCGGGAACAGUCGCUAAAUGAUGCAACAAAAACCAUAGAUGUAUUCAACGAGAUGCGGGCGGAGGACCCAGAAUUUAAAUACAGUGUCCAGGUGGACACCGAGGGCAUAAUUAAGACAUUGAUGUGGGCGACUGGUAAAGGCAUUGAUCAGUUCAAGUGUUUCGGUGAUGUUGUGGCGUUUGAUACAACCUAGAAGACAAACCUGUACGACAUGCCAUUUGGCCUAUUUGUUGGCGUUAACAAUCAUUUCCAGAGUGUCAUUUACGAAGGCGUGUUGAUGAGUGAUGAGAAAGUGGACACUUUCAAGUGGAUAUUCACAGAGUUCUUUCAAAUGCUAGCAGCGCCACGGCCUAAAACUAUCUUAACUGACCAAGCUCGUUCGAUGGAAAUUGCAAUAGUCGACGUGAUGCCGCGGACUGCACAUCGCUGGUGCAAAUGGCACGUACUGAAGAAGGCAAAGGAGAGCCUUGGAGCACUGCUUGCAAAAGGGAGUGAAUUCAAGCCACAAUUUAGCAAACUGGUCCACCACGUAGUUAGUAUUGAUGAAUUCGAGAAUGGGUGGGCGUGCAUGAUGGAAAAAUAUGGGCUCCAGAAAAAUACAUUCCUGGCCUAGCUUUAUGAGGUGAGGGGGAAGUGGGUGAAGCCAUACUUCAUGGGUGUGUUCUGUCCAAAGAUGACAAGCACACAGCGAAGCGAGAGUGCGACCACCUUCUGAAAGGAUAUGUGCCACCAGGGUGCCCCAUGCACUUGUUCAUCAGGCAAUAUGAGAAGAUGCAAUUUGACCGCGAUUCAGAAGAAAGUUACCAGGAGAGAAGGACAAAAGUAGGUGGGGUUUUCCUGAAGCAAAAUAUCCCAAUUGAGGUACAUGCAUUGCAGGUGUACACCAGGACAAUGUUUGAGAAAUUUGUUGAAGUGUUGUAUGAAUGUGGAUCUUAUGACCUAGUAGAAGUCAAGCCACGCUUGGAGUACAUUACUAGGCACAUCAAAUUUUAGUCAGUGGAAAAAUGGUGCGAGAAUGAGUUUGUGAUCUCCGUGAGCGAGACAACCGAUGAGUUCAAGUGCGAGUGUGGGAUGUUUGAGCACUACA